rnacentral:rRNA from 1 species
UAGGGAAUCUUCCACAAUGGACGCAAGUCUGAUGGAGCAACGCCGCGUGAGUGAAGAAGGUUUUCGGACCGUAAAGCUCUGUUGUUGGUGAAGAAGGAUAGAGGUAGUAACUGGCCUUUAUUUGACGGUAAUCAACCAGAAAGUCACGGCUAACUACGUGCCAGCAGCCGCGGUAAUACGUAGGUGGCAAGCGUUGUCCGGAUUUAUUGGGCGUAAAGCGAGCGCAGGCGGAAGAAUAAGUCUGAUGUGAAAGCCCUCGGCUUAACCGAGGAAUUGCAUCGGAAACUGUUUUCUUGAGUGCAGAAGGGGAGAGUAGAACUCCAUGUGUAGCGGUGGAAUGCGUAGAUAUAUGGAAGAAUACCAGUGGCGAAGGCGGCUCUCUGGUCUGCAACUGACGCUGAGGCUCGAAAGCAUGGGUAGCGAACAGGAUUAGAUACCCUGGUAGUCCAUGCCGUAAACGAUGAGUGCUAAGUGUUGGGAGGCUUCCGCCUCUCAGUGCUGCAGCUAACGCAUUAAGCACUCCGCCUGGGGGAGUACGACCGCAAGGUUGA